AGAUGUGUUAACAGGAUACUGCCUCCUGAUGUUUUCAGAUUCAUUGACUUCUCGUCAGGUUAAUCGUAUUUCCAAGCUGAGCCAGUAAAGCUUUCUUUUAGAUAUGUUCAGUUUCAAGUUGUGCUAGUAAUCAG